GACGAACGCUGGCGGCGUGCUUAACACAUGCAAGUCGAGCGGUAAGGCCCUUUCGGGGGUACACGAGCGGCGAACGGGUGAGUAACACGUGGGUGACCUGCCUCUAGCUCUGGGAUAAGCCUGGGAAGCUGGGUCUAAUACCGGAUAUGACCUCGCGGUGCAUGUUGCGGGGUGGAAAGCCUUGUGCGGCUAGGGAUGGGCCCGCGGCCUAUCAGCUUGUUGGUGGGGUGANGGCCUACCAAGGCGACGACGGGUAGCCGGCCUGAGAGGGCGACCGGCCACACUGGGACUGAGACACGGCCCAGACUCCUACGGGAGGCAGCAGUGGGGAAUCUUGCGCAAUGGGCGAAAGCCUGACGCAGCGACGCCGCGUGAGGGAUGACGGCCU
rnacentral:rRNA from 1 species